UAGACUAUACUUUCAGGGAUCAUUUCUAUAGUUUGUUACUAGAGAAGGCUCUCUGAACGUGUAGAGCACUGAAGACUAUCGAGGCUGGGAAG
rnacentral:snoRNA from 1 species